rnacentral:tRNA from 1 species
GGGAGACCUAAUUCAGGUAGGAGACGAAAAAAAAGUAGUCGCUACCAAGAAUCAAUCCCAAAAGGUCGGAGCGAGGCAAAAUUGGCUUUCAAACUAGGUUCUGGGUUCACACAAGACCUGAAUCAGGAACAAGGGCUAUUAGCUCAGGUGGUUAGAGCGCACCCCUGAUAAGGGUGAGGUCCCUGGUUCGAGUCCAGGAUGGCCCACCUGCACAGGUGGCAAAAACAAAGAAAAAAAGCUCCGAAUCAGCACCUUAUCUUACUUAUAUAGUAAGAGAGAAUGCUGGCUCUGAGUACAGAGUCCAGAGGAACCUUGAAAACUGCAUAGAGCUAGGUGAAAAAGCCAAAAAAGAAGACCGCAAGGUCAAGCUAAUAAGGGCUAACGGUG